rnacentral:rRNA from 1 species
AUUGAACGCUGGCGGCAGGCUUAACACAUGCAAGUCGAACUAGUGGCGGACGGGUGAGUAAUGUAUGGGGAUCUGCCCGAUCGAGGGGGAUAACUACUGGAAACGGUGGCUAAUACCUCAUACUAUCGGAUGAACCCAUAUGUGAUUAGCUAGUAUGUGGGGUAAAGGCUCACCUAGCGACGCUCUCUAGCUGGUCUGAGAGGAUGAUCAGCCACAAUGGGACUGAGACACGGCCCAGACUCCUACGGGAGGCAGCAGUGGGGAAUAUUGCGCAAUGGUGGCAACCCUGACGCAGCCAUGCCGCGUGAAUGAAGAAGGCCUUCGGGUUGUAAAGUUCUUUCGGUAGCGAGGCGUUAACUACAGAAGAAGCACCGGCUAACUCCGUGCCAGCAGCCGCGGUAAUUC